AUUGAACGCUGGCGGCAGGCCUAACACAUGCAAGUCGAACGAGUGGCGGACGGGUGAGUAAUGUCUGGGAAACUGCCUGAUGGUGGGGGAUAACUACUGGAAACGGUAGCUAAUACCGCAUACCAUCGGAUGUGCCCAGAUGGGAUUAGCCAGUAGGUGGGGUAACGGCGCACCUAGGCGACGCACCCUAGCUGGUCUGAGAGGAUGACCAGCCACACUGUGAGUGAGACACGGUCCAGACUCCAACGUGAGGCAGCAGUGGGGAAUAUUGCACAAUGGGCGAAAGCCUGAUGCAGCCAUGCCGCGUGUAUGAAGAAGGCCUUCGGGUUGUAAAGUACUUGCAGCGAGGAGGCGUUACCCGCAGAAGAAGCACCGGCUAACUCCGUGCCAGCAGCCGCGGUAAUAC
rnacentral:rRNA from 1 species